UACGUAGGGUGCAGGCGUUAAUCGGAAUUACUGGGCGUAAAGCGUGCGCAGGCGGUUUCUUAAGUCAGAUGUGAAAGCCCCGGGCUUAACCUGGGAACUGCGUUUGAAACUGGGAGACUUGAGUGUGGCAGAGGGGGGUGGAAUUCCACGUGUAGCAGUGAAAUGCGUAGAUAUCGGGAGGAACACCUGUGGCGAAGGCGGCCGACUGGGCCGACCCUGACGCUGAGGCGCGAAGGCGUGGGGAGCGAACGGG
rnacentral:rRNA from 1 species